CCUACGGGAGGCUGCAGUGAGGAAUAUUGGUCAAUGGACGAGAGUCUGAACCAGCCAAGUAGCGUGAAGGAUGACUGCCCUAUGGGUUGUAAACUUCUUUUAUAAAGGAAUAAAACGAGGCACGUGUGCCUUUUUGCAUGUACUUUAUGAAUAAGGAUCGGCUAACUCCGUGCCAGCCGCCGCGGUAAUACGGAGGAUCCGAGCGUUAUCCGGAUUUAUUGGGUUUAAAGGGAGCGUAGAUGGGUUGUUAAGUCAGUUGUGAAAGUUUGCGGCUCAACCGUAAAAUUGCAAUUGAUACUGGCAGUCUUGAGUACAGUUGAGGUAAGCGGAAUUCGUGGUGUAGCGGUGAAAUGCUUAGAUAUCACGAAGAACCCCGAGUGCGAAGGCAGCUUACUAAACUGUGACUGACAUUGAUGCUCGAAAGUGUGGGUAUCAAACAGGAUUAGAUACCCUUGUAGUC
rnacentral:rRNA from 1 species